rnacentral:tRNA from 1 species
GGGCCUGUAGCUCAGCUGGGAGAGCACAUGGUUUGCAACCAUGGGGUCGGGAGUUCGAUCCUCCCCAGGUCCACCA